rnacentral:rRNA from 1 species
UCCGCCGGGGCCUCCUCCUCCUCCGCGGCCUCCCCCGUCGGCUCCCCCGCCGGCGGCAACAUAUUCAGCUUCAAGGCCGAGGUGCCGAGGAACGCCAAGCGGGCGCUCUUCGCCGGCGGGGACGACCAGGACCUGCUCUUCCCCGACAUCUUCACCCCCAAGGGCUCCGGCCCCAGGAAGAUCCCCAGGUCGCCCUACAAGGUGCUGGAUGCGCCCACAUUGCAGGAUGACUUCUACCUCAACCUCGUGGAUUGGUCUUUGCACAAUGUCCUCUCGGUCGGAUUGGGGAAUUGCGUCUACCUGUGGAAUGCAUGCAGCAACAAGCUCUGCGAUUUGGGGGCGGACGACACCGUUUGUUCCGUGAGUUGGGCGCAGCGUGGCACCCACCUGGCUGUAGGGACUAACCAAGGCACCGUCCAGAUAUGGGAUGCAACACGCUGUAAAAGAAUGAGAACCAUGGAAAGCCAUCGCAUGCGAGUAGGUGCUCUUGCAUGGAACUCUUCAUUGCUUUCUUCUGGCAGUCGUGACAAGAACAUCCUUCAUCAUGAUCUACACGGCCUUCUUGCAUCUGGUGGUGGAACUGCAGAUAGGUGCAUAAGAUUUUGGAAUACGACCACAAAUACACAC